GUUGCCAGAUUUUUUUUAAUCACUUCGCUGAACGACUAGAAAGUGGGAUAAUUCAUUUUCACAUUCCAUUGUUCACUGGUUUACGCUGAGAAUCAUUAAAGGUGCGUUUAGUUAAGCCAUAACGCCUUCCGAAACUCAACUUCCUCAGCUGCUCUUGUCUUUGGUUAGUCUGACAAUUUCCACCUUUUUCAGGAAAUUCCUUUUCUGUUUGGAGAAUAUUCCUUUUGGAACUGAUGCAGAGAAUAGGAAUCGUUUAUAAAAAUUACAACAGCACAUUAGCGAUAUUUUUGCUGUUAGAUUUCAGGCUGAUGCAGAAAACAAGUGUCAAGUACACAUUUAAAAUGACAGCGUGAUUAAAAUGAUUCAUGUGCCGCGUUAUCAUGUUGCAUUUCUACAGUAUUAAUGCCUAGUUUACCACAGUACUCUGUGGUGAGUUUUUGUCUGCAAAUUAAUGUUGAGCCGGCACUGACUGCCUUUAUUCCGCCGCCGUAACCCGGGGUCGCACUUAGUGUCAGGGUUUCAUUUGAACACAGCGGGCACAGAUUUCAGAGGGAGAAAACUGAGAAGCGCUUUACGCUUGGUUCCCUGAAACCCACAUAAAACCGGAGAAGUACUCGCCAAUUGUGAAAUACCGCCGCACAAGCGAGCAGGUGCUGUCCCUUUUUUGGAGUUGUUUUACUAAUAUUCAAAGCUGACUUGUUUGAGUAAACUGGGGAUCAAGCAGCUUACUGCAGGGAAUGCAAAUGAAGGUAAUUUGUGAUGUGCCGUGCCUGACUUCGCCGGGACUUUUACGCGGGUUGGCAGCUCAAACGGGGCUUUUUUGGGAGGACAUCCUCACUGCCAGGCAAAAGGGGCAUCAGACGUGACGCUGCCUCAUCACUGAACAGCGCAAUUCCCCAAAUGCAAGACGAGAGGCAACAUUAAACUCCUCGCAUUGUUUUCGAGACUUGCCGGAAAAUAGAAGCGUGUGUGGAGCUGACUAGGGGAGGCAGGGCUGGAACAUAUUCAUCGGACAGUGCGAGAAUGUACUGAUAUUAAUCUGCACACGUUGGCCAAUUUGUUCUCACACAAGUCAGCAUUACGGCUUCUAUCACGUUGUAUCCAACCAGCCUUUCAGCAAACGGUUCUGGGUGAAUGAGUUAAAAUCUCAACGAAGUUAGGGUGCGCCACGCGUUACUGUCCUUAAAUCCAGAGGCACCAAAAUAUUCACAAAUGACUAUUCCAUCCACACCCCGCAACACUCACAAAAAAGUUGCGUUUGAAUCGGUAGAUUAAACCCAACGAGUUUGCAACUCCAUCUAACGACACAACUUUAGAAACAGCGCAAACUACUGUAGCUAGAAAAGUUCAGAUUCACUGAGCAGCUGCGCCUGAGCCUGCGAUGUUUUCUGCAUUGGUGAGAUUUCAGUUACCGCUUCAUCCUCUUUACUGUUUAAUAACAAGUCCUCAAACCUGUUUAAAUUACAAUUUGCUUUUGUUUUAUAAAGUCGCGCUGGCUAUCCAUUUGCUCCACAUUUUAAAAUCAAUAGAAAAGCCGUCUGAAUCCUAGGGUUUUACUUCGAUGUGAAAAGUACGUCGUAAAGCAUUGUGGCGUCUUAAGAAAACGUUCAGAGACUCUCAGAUAUCCGAAUGCUCCCUCUGCUAAUGGGAAAUCAAACGCGAAAGAAUAUCCCUGAGUCGCUCGGUCGAAUUUGGAACCGAAAGGUCUCGAUACAGACUGGACACUGCCACUAACGCCAGGGCAGAUAUUUCACAGCAGUUUACACGUUUCUGACGGAACAUUCAUUUCCAGUUAAAGAAUUCCUCAAUUCUAACAUUGAAAACCCUUGUUUUUAAAUGAAUGGAUCUUGACCAAUGCUGAUUGUAUUAAUUAAGUCGAUAGAUUGUGAAAAUGUUUUGAAGUUAAAGGGUUAUCACCGUUUAAACAAAUGUUACAUAGCACCGUUUCAAAGCCAGCUCCCACAUUAAAAGCGAUUUUAGAUGCACGAAUAUGUCGGUCCGAAAUCUAGUCAAGCGGUCAUUAAUAAUUGUCAUACAUGAUAUUACCGCUUCAGUUUUGGUGCGGUAUAUUGCAGCAUGAGGCUGAAGCUCAUUCUGUAUUAUCACUGAAAUGAUUAAUAUAACAAAUACGAUGAUACAUCUUUACUGCGUUUCUUAUUUUUUUGCACGGCAAAGGAGAAGUCGCAGUUCUUGUCACUAUUUCAAAUUAACUCGCUCGAGUUUAAAACCGGGGUUAGGAGUUUCACUGAAUUAUGGAAUUCUGCUGCCAUCUGCUGGUUGUAAAUUGAAUAUCUGUAACGCAGGAGGAAUCGGAAGGAGGAAGCUCAGGGAAUGACCACCUGGUUGAUAAAAGGCGAAACAUUGCAAAAACGAUAUAUACUUUUGUGCCGAGGUUACUAUAAGCUUUUGGCAUUUUCUUAAACUGAGUAGCGAGUGUAGAGGUUGGGAAAUUAUUUCCUGUUCCACAUUUCAUACUUUCUCUGUUUGAAAGGCUGUACAUUGGUGAAGCCAGUUGAAAUGUUUUGCGAAAAAGUGCUAAUCGGAAGAAAUAUCUGCACACUUUCUUGAAGUUGGACUUUGGGGAGAUUUCCAGUAUUCAGGGGGGAAAAAAGAACGAAUCAAAUGGAAAUAGAGGACGCAUUUUCUUUUCGUUUAAAUGUCUAGACGCGGCGAAUAGUUGAAUGCUGGUCCGCCUUAAACUUUGAGAGAAUCUGUUUAGAAUGGAUAUUUUUAUGAAUUGAAUGUACAAAAUGAAGCAGCGUGGGCGAUUCCUUUCACAAUCAAAGCAAAUCCUUUGUGCUGUGGUAAAUCCUAACAUUAUAGGAAACAUGACCUGGUAUAAAAAGGGUUAUCUAAAACAAAGUUUGUGAAGGGGCUGUAAAAUAUCCGGACAGUGAAAUCGUCAGUGAACGGAAACUUUUUUUUCCAUGGCGAUAGCGUGAGUUACUUUUCAAACUAACUUUUUCAAUGUUUCAGCAUGGAACCCUUUAACACAGGGCGUUUAAAUUUGCCGACGUCUUAAUAAUACCAUACAAACACCAGUAUCGCUUGGAUCCAAAGGCGUUCUGUUUAAAAUAACCUUUGUUACGCUUGGAGAAUAUCCAAGCCGGUAAACAUCACAGUCGUUUGCGUUUGUGAUAAUCCGGAGAUGAAGACUUCUGGAAUCGAUUGUUUACUCGAUAGGCGAUAGGAACGGAGACAAAUGCGGAGAGGAUUCACCGCAAACAAAGGAGCCCUCUUCCCAGUUGUUGCAGAAUGACAAAUGAUUGACACAUGCCGGAUUAACAGCCUUCAGUCUGCUGAGCAAUGAAAACACAAUCUCGGAAGCACUUUCUCGCUCAGAUCCAGCCUCUCAGGUCUCAAAGACCUCCAGAUCCUUUUCUUCAUGUGGAGUCAGGGAUAUUUUUCAUGGGAUAUCACCAGCAGAGGCUUGAAGUUGUCAGCAGCUAUUAAGUACAUUCUCCAGUCCAAAGGAUGAAGAGAUACAAUGCAAAGACUGGACAGUCUUGUGUUACAACAAUUGGUGCAUAAAAGUCAAAAAUUGAGACAGGACAACUGUGAUGUGUUAGAAUGGCUUGCUUGCACACAGCAGAUUGUGGAAAAUGAGAAUUUACCCCUAGCAGUUUUGUUCAGGGUCAAAAUCUUGGGACUCCCUCAGCACUCUAGGAGUGCCUCUAAGCUUUUACCACAACCUCACCAAUUUUAUUUUGUGACAUCUAAAUAAUAUGACGAUUAAAAGAAUCUAAAUGUGAUGAUAUAGUGUAGUCCACGUGCUGUGGGUAGAUCAAUGAUGCCGUUACGGAAGGAAUUCAAGGAUUUAGGCCCAACAACAAUGAAGGAAUGGCGAUAUAUUUCCAAAUCAGGAUGGCAGUGGCAUGGAGAAGAACUUGCAAGUGAUGGUGUUCCUAUAUAUCUGCUGCCCUUGUCCUUCUGGAUGGAAUUGGUCAUGGGUUUAGAGGGAAAAACCAAGAGAACUGCUGGAAAUCAGAAAUAAAAACAGAAAUUACUGGAAAAACACAGCAGAUCUGGCAACAUCUGUGAAGAGAAGACUGGGUGUUCUGAGGAAGGGUCACUGGACCCGAAAUGUUAACUCUGAUUUCUCUGUACAGAUGUGGCCACACCUGCUGAGUUUUUACAACUAUUUCUGUUUUUGUUGUGGGUUUAGAAGGUAUUGUCUAAAGAUCUUUAGUGAUUUUUUUUUACCAUUGAAUAUCUAACCUUGUUCUUUAGCGUGUUAUGUGGAAUCUUAUCCUGGCUGUUUUGAAGAUCCAGACAGAUUAAGUUUAUUGCAUUGUCAUUUUCAAUUCUCUGUUACCUCCUCCUUUCAACUGAAAAAUGGUAUCUUCCACAUUGCAGCUUUCUGUCAGUGCUGCACAGAAGUGCCAGCAAAGUCUCUGGAUUGGGACCAGAGCACACAAAUGCCUGGCUUAGAGUUGAAAGUGUUACCAGUUGAACCAACAAGGCUACCAAAAUCUUUCAAGACAACUUGGAAUGGACAAUAAAUCCUCAACUUACCAUAACUCAAGCAUAUACUUUCAAAAGUCAACAAAUUACAGCAAGGGAGACAAAGUAACAUUCAUGAGCAUACUGAGUAAAGGUGUGCUCACAUAUAAACAGACUUGUGAGAGACAGUUAGAGAGAACAGGUAGCUUUAUUUGCCGACUUAAUGGCAGAAGUUGAAAUGUCUAAACAUUAUAUAGGAGAAAGUCAGUGUAUACCUUUAUUAUUUCCAGAUAUGACCAUUCUAAUACACUCCUGGCCAGCUCCUCCACAUUCUAUCCUUCAUUAAAUUUAAGGUAAUCUAAAACUCUGCUGUCCAUAUCCUAACUUGUAACAAAGGUCAUUCACCUAUUAUCUAUGUGCUUGCUUUUAAAUAAUGCCUGAAUUUUAAAAUUCCCAUCUUUGUUUCCAUAUCAGUCUAUUUCUUGACCCCCUCGCUAUCUCAGUAAUCUCCAGCUCCACGACACUGAGAUAUCUACACCCCACUAACUCCGUCCUUUUGACCAAUUACUUCUACCAUUAUUCGCUGUGCCUUCAGCUGCCAAGUCCCUACCCUCUGGAAUUCUCAUUCUAAAAACUUUCCACUCUUCUUUAAGACCUAUCUCUUUAGCAAUGCAGUGGAAGGCCAGUGAUACGUGUAUUAUUUUUUAAAACAGAAUGCUAAAAAUUCCUCCAGUUUUGUUUGAAAUAUAUGGGGUGGAGUGCCACAAAUGAAUACCAACACUGUACUAUACCAUGAAAGGAUACAAGAGGCUAGGGUUCAUCUCUGGAUUCUUAUAAUGUUAAAUUGUAACACCACUGUGAGAUUAAAAGACGUAAUUUUGUGAUGAAAAUACAAAAUCCUUUACUGUUGAAGCUAAAUAUAGAGUGGCACAGGAAUGAACUGGCUCCCUAGAAAGCCUGGAGAUUAUCAAGGAGAAAGGAGGAGGAAUUAAUAUAAUGGUAUUGACCCAUUCAGUGGGUUUACUUCAGUUCUUCUGAUUUUUCAUACAGCUAGUUCACCUGUGUAAAUCCAUGUUACAUUAACAGAACAUGUUACUGAGCCAAUUCACAACAAGAAAUACAGUCAUUAUAGAGCUAACCCAAUUCAAUUGCACCCAGUAAUAUGCAUAUGAUCCAUAAUCUUGCAUCACUGAUUGGUACAGUAACUGAUUUGGCAUGGCAUAACAUCCCGUGACAAGUCCAACAUUCUGAAUUUAUCACUCACGUACCAUUUGCUCCCUGAAUGCUGCACAAGAAGUGCCAGAGGCAGUAGAAAGUGUCAGUUUUGUGGCAUUUGAUCAACAACAAACUGCACACCAUCUACUUUUUGGCUUGCUGUGAAGAAAAAUUAUAUCCCAACAUGGACCCUGCACAAAAUAUUGGAACAAAUAAUGCCAUGCUGAGUAAGUGAGUGCUGUGUGCAUGGUUUAGUUUUCAUUGAGUCAAUAUUUUUUUUCAAUGUAUUUGUUUUGUUUUGCAGUUUGGGAAAAGUCCCUUUCAAAUCUAGUUCUUUGUAUGUGCUGCCUAUUAGGCUUCUGUUUGCUCAUAACAUGCUAUUUAUUUUGCAUUUCAAAAUAAAUAAACACUGUAAA